rnacentral:rRNA from 1 species
AACGAACGCUGGCGGCAUGCCUAACACAUGCAAGUCGAACGAGACCUUCGGGUCUAGUGGCGCACGGGUGCGUAACGCGUGGGAACCUGCCCUUAGGUUCGGAAUAACUCCCCGAAAGGGGUGCUAAUACCGGAUAAUGUCUUCGGACCAAAGAUUUAUUGCCUUUGGAUGGGCCCGCGUUGGAUUAGCUAGUUGGUAGGGUAAAAGCCUACCAAGGCGACGAUUCAUAGCUGGUCUGAGAGGCUGAUCAGCCACACUGGGACUGAGACACGGCCCAGACUCCUACGGGAGGCAGCAGUGGGGAAUAUUGGACAAUGGGCGAAAGCAUGAUCCAGCAAUGCCGCGUGAGUGAUGAAGGCCUUAGGGUUGUAAAGCUCUUUUACCCGGGAUGAUAAUGACAGUACCGAGAGAAUAAGCUCCGGCUAACUCCGUG